rnacentral:rRNA from 1 species
CCUACGGGUGGCAGCAGUGAGGAAUAUUGGUCAAUGGACGAGAGUCUGAACCAGCCAAGUAGCGUGCAGGAUGACUGCCCUAUGGGUUGUAAACUUCUUUUAUAUGGGAAUAAAGUGCUCCACGUGUGGGAUUUUGUAUGUACCAUAUGAAUAAGGAUCGGCUAACUCCGUGCCAGCAGCCGCGGUAAUACGGAGGAUCCGAGCGUUAUCCGGAUUUAUUGGGUUUAAAGGGAGCGUAGGUGGAUUGUUAAGUGAGUUGUGAAAGUUUGCGGCUCAACCGUAAAAUUGCAGUUGAAACUGGCAGUCUUGAGUACAGUAGAGGUGGGCGGAAUUCGUGGUGUAGCGGUGAAAUGCUUAGAUAUCACGAAGAACUCCGAUUGCGAAGGCAGUUCACUGGACUGCAACUGACACUGAGGCUCGAAAGUGUGGGUAUCAAACAGGAUUAGAUACCCUAGUAGUC